rnacentral:rRNA from 1 species
CAGUCGCCGCGGGAAUACAGAUGGUGCGAGCGUUAAUCGGAUUUACUGGGCGUAAAGCGUGCGUAGGCGGCUUCUUAAGUCGGAUGUGAAAUCCCUGAGCUUAACUUAGGAAUUGCAUUCGAUACUGGGAAGCUAGAGUAUGGGAGAGGAUGGUAGAAUUCCAGGUGUAGCGGUGAAAUGCGUAGAGAUCUGGAGGAAUACCGAUGGCGAAGGCAGCCAUCUGGCCUAAUACUGACGCUGAGGUACGAAAGCAUGGGGAGCAAACAGGAUUAGAUACCCGCGUAGUCCCUGUCUCUUAUAC